UCGAGGGGCAGCGGGGUAGUGCUUGCACUACUGCCGGCGACCGGCGCACGGGUGAGUAACACGUAUGGAACCUGCCCGCAGCAGGGGGAUAAGCGGAAGAAAUUCCGUCUAAUACCGCGUAACAACGUUGGGAGGCAUCUCCCGAUGUUUAAAGAUUUAUCGGCUGCGGAUGGCCAUGCGGCGCAUUAGCUAGUCGGCGGGGUAACGGCCCACCGAGGCGACGAUGCGUAGGGGUUCUGAGAGGAAGGUCCCCCACACUGGUACUGAGACACGGACCAGACUCCUACGGGAGGCAGCAGUGAGGAAUAUUGGUCAAUGGCCGAGAGGCUGAACCAGCCAAGUCGCGUGAGGGAAGACGGCCCUACGGGUUGUAAACCUCUUUUGUCGGGGAGCAAAGAGAGCCACGUGUGGCUCAUUGAGAGUACCCGAAGAAAAAGCAUCGGCUAACUCCGUGCCA
rnacentral:rRNA from 1 species